AGAAAGUUUGAGACAAUCAAAGAAAGAAAAAAAAAAGAAGAAGAACAGAAGUCCUCAGAAAAUGUAGAUGAGAGCGGAAAUGUAAGACAAUCGAAGAGCAGAAAAAAAGAACAAGAACAGGUGAAGUUGACUAUCAAGUUAAACAUGUUAAAUACUUUAACCGAGACUCUUGUCGAUAAAGAAUCAACCAAAAAGGCUGUAUGCCGAAAAAUGAAAGUGAUAUCUGCCCCAAAAAAGGGUGACAUUGAAAAAACUAAGGUGACAAGAGCUAACCACAUUCAACAUCUUGGUAAUGGGACCAGAGAUUACCAAAUUAA